rnacentral:tRNA from 1 species
GCACCUGUAGCUCAAUUGGAUUUAGAGUGUCGUGCUUCGAACUCGACGGUUGCGGGUUCGAAUCUCGCCGGGUGUA